rnacentral:lncRNA from 1 species
CGAAGAAGAGUCUUCGGCCGAGCCGAGCUGCCGAGGACGGCGGAUGGAGUCUUGGAGAAGACAGGCUAUCAGCUAUGGAUCGUUGGGGCGUAGGGCUUCAUAGCCCCGUUGUCCGUUGCCCGUUGGCCACCAGGCCAAGCCUGGAUGCUGGAUGCCUGGCAGGCGGCAGCUAAUCUAUGAAUCCUAUGAUGGGCAGCUGCAGGCUGGAGCAGCUCGUAGGCCUCCGACCGGCUUCGGCGAUGGCGAUCCCAGACAGGAGCAUGCAGAGUGGAGGCCUUCCUUUGGGCCGGGGCCUUAGGCGACCGCCUCGGUCGCCUAAGGCUUGGGCCGGCCCUGU